rnacentral:rRNA from 1 species
UACGGGGGGGGCAAGCGUUGUUCGGAAUUACUGGGCGUAAAGGGCUCGUAGGCGGCCAACUAAGUCCGACGUGAAAUCCCCAGGCUUAACCUGGGAACUGCGUCGGAUACUCGAUGGCUUGAAUCCGGGAGAGGGAUGCGGAAUUCCAGGUGUAGCGGUGAAAUGCGUAGAUAUCUGGAGGAAUACCGGUGGCGAAGGCGGCAUCCUGGACCGACAUUGACGCUGAUGAGCGAAAGCUAGGGGAGCAAACGGG